GGCGGGGCUCCUGCCUGGGCCAUGUGGCAUUCCUGCUGCCCUGUGCAGAUGGCAGAGCCCAGGAGCCCUCUGGGAAGCCUGUGGCACGGUAGCCGUCCCCUCCGUGGUUUGGAGGAGUGUGUCCUGAGAAGGGAAGUCACUUGCCCAGUUGUCUCAGCCUUGCUGAGUGCCGUCUACCCCCUGGACUCCAGUGUCUGUGCCGUGUGGGGACACACAGUCCAGACCCCUGCCCUCCCAGAUCUCAAGAGGGCAUCAACCUUGGGCAUCUGGACCUCCUGACUCUGGCUAUAAAAAGGGGUUGAAAACUAGCCCUAAGCCAGGGUGAAACUCAGACACUGUGCUACACCAGACACAGAGGCCAUGGCUGGGCCACUGACUUCUGUGACCCCUCCAGUCCUGGCCAGCCCACAGGCACAGAAGGCAAGUUUGGGGUUGCAGGGACGGGGGUGGGGGGGUGGGGAACGACUGCUUCCUGGUUUUGGUUUGGGAUAAUGAGAGAGUUCUGGAACCAGAGGGUGGAUGUUAUGACUUGGAUUUGCCCCUCUUCCCACCCCUAAAUUCAUGCGUUGAAGGGCUGACCCCUCAUGUGGCUGUACUUGGAGACAGGCCUUUAAGGAGGUAAGUAAGGGUAAGUGGGUCAUCAGGUCAAAUGAGGCCUGUGUCCUGGUAAGGAGACACCAGAACUCCUUCUCUCUCCCUCCCCCUCUCCCCUUCCCCUCCCUCUCCACCCCUCUUCUCCUCCCUCUCUCCCUCUCCCCCUCCCCUCCCCUCCCACCUCUCCCCCAUCUCUCCACACACAGGAAAGGCCAAGCAGGGCCCAGCGGGGAGAGAAGCCUCACCAGGAGUCAAGAUGGGGCACCUCCUUCUGGGUCUCCUGGCCUCCAGAACUGUGGAAAGCAUUUUUGCUGUGGAGCAGCUCAGUCUGCAGUGUCCACGGCGUCGGCACACAGACGCAGUCACACGGGACUGUGCGUGAACCAAAGGCCAAGGCGAUGUGCCCCCUCAUUAAAAAGGUGC
rnacentral:lncRNA from 1 species